GAUUCACAAAAACGUUAGAAAAUAAAAAGGAGCCUAAAAUGGCUCCACAUAUAUACGAGUAGAGAGUUAAAAGAAAAAUUGAUCCAAAUUAGAAAAUAGUUGGUGCUCCUAUUACCCCUAGCUUAACAUUUUAAUGGGAAAAGGAAAUCUAGCAGACAAACAAUCACUUCAGUUCAAGAAAAUCAGGCGCACUUUCGGAUAGUUAAGGAUAACCCUUUCCAAAGCGCGAAAAAUGCAAGAAUUCUGUAGAAAUUUCCGCAAGACAAUUGUCCUGACCACACUUCAAAAAUCAUUACACAAUGGCUCGAAAAUUGCAACAUUGAAACCUUGCCUUGGCCAAAUAUUAGUCCUGAUAAUGAUGAAACGGCCGUAUGGAAGCAACUUUAUGCCUCAAAACAGCAAGGAUCGAUAGGAAGGAAGGAAGUAUACGAAUGAUUGUCGCUUGAAGAAUACUUCAUAUCUGUUUUCAUGACCAUGAGCCGAAGACUUCAAGCUGUGAUUGAUGCACAUGGAGUUUGCAAAAAUAUUAAAUCCCUUCCAAGUAUUUCUU